AGCCCUGCUCUCAGCAGAGACUAACCGUUUCCCACUGCAAACUGUGACCGGGCACAUAACCAGUGAACCAGCAAGACGGCGGCCACCGGCGUCACCAACACCGGGGUGGGUGACACUCAGGGUUACAGGGGUCCUGUCGCUCUGAAGCCUCCAGCAUGCCUAUGCCCUCCUCUGCGAGAGUUACUAUUGACCAUGGGCUUGACGGACUCUAGAAUCAUCUAAGACAACCCAGGUGUGUUCGUGAGGGAUUAUCUAGACUGGGUUUAUCAAGAUGGGAAGAACCGCAUUAAAUUCACACAGCACUAAUCCAUAGCCCGGGAGGUCCUAGACUAAAUAAAAAUGCAAUGCUUUGAGCAUCA